GAUGAACGCUGGCGGCGUGCCUAAUACAUGCAAGUCGAGCGAAUGGAUUAAGAGCUUGCUCUUAUGAAGUUAGCGGCGGACGGGUGAGUAACACGUGGGUAACCUGCCCAUAAGACUGGGAUAACUCCGGGAAACCGGGGCUAAUACCGGAUAACAUUUUGAACCGCAUGGUUCGAAAUUGAAAGGCGGCUUCGGCUGUCACUUAUGGAUGGACCCGCGUCGCAUUAGCUAGUUGGUGAGGUAACGGCUCACCAAGGCAACGAUGCGUAGCCGACCUGAGAGGGCGAUCGGCCACAUUGGGACUGAGACACGUCCCAGACUCCUACGGGAGGCAGCAGUAGGGAAUCUUCCGCAAUGGACGAAAGUCUGACGGAGCAACGCCGCGUGAGUGAUGAAGGCUUUCGGGUCGUAAAACUCUGUUGUUAGGGAAGAACAAGUGCUAGUUGAAUAAGCUGGCACCUUGACGGUACCUAACCAGAAAGCCACGGCUAACUACGUGCCAGCAGCCGCAGUAA
rnacentral:rRNA from 1 species